rnacentral:lncRNA from 1 species
UUGUCCAGCCCGCGACAGGCCAGGCACCGGCGAAGGAGGGCUGGAUCACGGUGGAGAGCCGGCGGACCAGGUCAAGGCGCAGGCAUCGAUAGCGGCUAGCUCAGUGGAGGCAAGCAAUGGUGGCGCAACCACUGCCGGUGGUCAGGUGCAUUCCGUCGGAGUUCUCUAGGAGCUGCCUCAAUUGCCUUUCUUUCAAGCACCUGCUAGCCCAAUGUCGUCUGCCGACGAGGUGCUUCCGCUGCCACGGCUUCUAGCAUCUUGCCAGGGAUUGCAGGCGCCCGCGGAGCCCGGUGAGCUCUGUCUCGUCCAGCGAAGGUGGGGGACACCAGCUGGUUCGCCCUCGCCAUGCCUCUCCACCA